UUUCCGUAGGUGAACCUGCGGAGGGAUCAUUACAAAGUUCAUGCCCUCACGGGGACAUCUCCCACCCCCGUUUAUUUAUACAUUAAUUGCUUUCUCAGGCCGUGGGAACACCAUGCGCUCCGGCUUAUGCGUUCCUACCCUGUGACACAAACUCUGUUUUUAUUGAUGUCUGAGUACUAUAUAAUAGUUAAAACUUUCAACAUCUGAUCUCUUGGUUCUACCAUCGAUGAAGAACGCAGCAGCGCGUAAAAGCACACCACUGAACUCCAGUCACCAUUC
rnacentral:misc_RNA from 1 species